rnacentral:rRNA from 1 species
UGGGGAAUAUUGCACAAUGGGCGCAAGCCUGAUGCAGCCAUGCCGCGUGUGUGAAGAAGGCCUUCGGGUUGUAAAGCACUUUCAGCGAGGAGGAAGGUGGUGAGCUUAAUACGCUCAUCAAUUGACGUUACUCGCAGAAGAAGCACCGGCUAACUCCGUGCCAGCAGCCGCGGUAAUACGGAGGGUGCAAGCGUUAAUCGGAAUUACUGGGCGUAAAGCGCACGCAGGCGGUUUGUUAAGUCAGAUGUGAAAUCCCCGGGCUCAACCUGGGAACUGCAUUUGAAACUGGCAAGCUAGAGUCUCGUAGAGGGGGUAGAAUUCCAGGUGUAGCGGUGAAAUGCGUAGAGAUCUGGAGGAAUACCGGUGGCGAAGGCGGCCCCCCUGGACGAAGACUGACGCUCAGGUGCGAAA